rnacentral:lncRNA from 1 species
UCACUUCUGGCACAUCACACUCUCCUGGAAGCAUGAUCUUCACUCCCUUCCUUCCACCUCCUGACCUGGUGAGUCUGCUUUCCCUCUUACCAUAGGAUGUCAGCCCCAGGGGGCUGGAGUGUGGGCUACAGCAGUCCCAGCUGUAUCCCUAACGCCUGGAAUAGGGCCAAGGAUGCACACAAUAUUUACUAAAUGAGUUAAUGAAUGUCAGGGAACAUGGGGACCACUAGGAUGAGGCUAUUUACUCUUGCUCUGUUUGUUUUUCAGAAUGUGAAAGACACCAAGGAAUUUGUUUUUUUGUUUGACACUGCAGAGAACCCACCCAAUGGCACAAGCUCACCCAGAGAGCCUGCUGGUCCCCAAGGAUCUUGGAGGAGCUGGUUCCAGAGAGCCCUGGCACAUUUCACCAGGUCCUUCAGGUGAGAGCUCAGAGCCAGCCUCUGCCUCUCACUGCUCACAGCCAAGCCAGCACACCUCCCCUUCUACUUGACCCAGAGAGCCUCCAGGCCAGGCCUCACUUCCCCAGAGUUACCAAGGGUCCAGUUGCCAUUCUGCUUUGCCUUUGUAGGGGAGGAUACCAGACAAUUGGAAACUGAGGUCACGGGGGCCACAGGCAGACCCAUGAAUAAUGAUGGAGCCCCCUCAGCUGCCACAUGCCCUUGCUUUCCCCAGUUUUUUGGUCACUGGCCUUGAAAUAAAUG